AUUGAACGCUGGCGGCAUGCCUUACACAUGCAAGUCGAACGGCAGCACGGGGCAACCUGGUGGCGAGUGGCGAACGGGUGAGUAAUGCAUCGGAACGUACCUUUCAGUGGGGGAUAUCGUAGCGAAAGUUACGCUAAUACCGCAUAUUCUGUGAGCAGGAAAGCAGGGGAUCGCAAGACCUUGCGCUGAUUGAGCGGCCGAUGUCAGAUUAGCUAGUUGGUGAGGUAAAGGCUCACCAAGGCGACGAUCUGUAGCGGGUCUGAGAGGAUGAUCCGCCACACUGGAACUGAGACACGGUCCAGACUCCUACGGGAGGCAGCAGUGGGGAAUUUUGGACAAUGGGGGCAACCCCGAUCCAGCCAUGCCGCGUGAGUGAAGAAGGCCUUCGGGUUGUAAAGCUCUUUCGGCCGGGAAGAAAUCGCACGGGCUAACACCCUGUGUGGAUGACGGUACCGGAAUAAGAAGCACCGGCUAACUACGUGCCAGCCGCCGCUGUAAUAC
rnacentral:rRNA from 1 species